rnacentral:tRNA from 1 species
GCCGUCUUAGCUCAGUGGUAGAGCAGCUGUUUUGUAAACAGCAGGUCGUCGGUCCGAAUCCGACAGACGGCU